rnacentral:piRNA from 1 species
UGGAGCAUUCUCAGAAAGUAGAUGGAUCUUCU